rnacentral:rRNA from 1 species
AUGGCCACCUGACUCUCUGAUUUAAUUAGUGACCAUUCCCUUGAUUUCCUGGGUCUUCAGGAAACCAUGAAGAAAAACUUCUCCCCUAAAUGCUUGAGAAAAAUUGACCCUCUUAGUAUCUUUGAGUGGGUCUGGAUCCCCUCAUGUGGCAAAUCAGGUGGUAUCAUUGCGGGGGCUAGAAAAGACAUUUUGGACUUGAGUUCUAACAAGAAAGGCAAGUUCAUGCUCCAGCUUGAUCUUAUAGAUAGGAAAAAUAAAACUGAAUGGAGUAUUCUAAUGGUAUAUGGCCCAGCUCAUGAAGAGAGGAGGGAGGAGUUCCUGCUGGAACUUGCUCAAUUCUGUUCUGAUAUGAACAAACCCUACAUAGUUGGGGGAGACUUUAACAUCUUGAGGCAUGGUGGAGAAAAGAAUAAAAAAGCACAUGGUCAUAAAUCUAUGGACAUGUUCAACUCUAUAAUUAAUGCAUAUGGACCGAGGGAAAUUUAUUGUAGUGGAGGGAAAUAUACUUGGACAAAUAACCAGACCCACCCCACUUUGGAAAAGCUAGACAGGAUUUUGAUGUCUAGUGACUGGGAAAAUCUAUACCCUUUGGGUAACUGUUAG